rnacentral:tRNA from 1 species
UUGCGGCUGGAUCACCUCCUUUCUAAGGAUACGGUCGAAAGCGCCAGGCCUUGCGCCGGGAAGAGCUUCGACCUUUCCAAAGAACAUUGCCGUCGUCCUCAUGUCCUUUCAUCAUCUGGAGAUAGCGCGGACCGCUUAGCGGUUUCGCGUUGUACGCCUGAGCUGGCUCACGCCGCCCGCGGCCUUAUGGCCGGCGGAGGCUUGGCGGGGGCCGGUAGCUCAGGUGGUUAGAGCGCACGCCUGAUAAGCGUGAGGUCGUAGGUUCAACUCCUACUCGGCCCACCAUCGCAAACUCACAUAGUCGCCCUGCGCGAAGAUAGUGAGUUUAUCCGCCUGACGGGGCCUUAGCUCAGUUGGGAGAGCGCUAGCUUUGCAAGCU